GGCGAGAAGGACCUGCUUCCAUCAGAUUCACACUUGGGAGAGGGGCCCGGCCUCCAGGAGCGCCAGGCAGAAAGGGCACCCAUUAGGAAGAAGAACACAGAGGCCAUGGGAGUGAAAAGUUUGAUGCUGGAAAGCAACAGUAGCACAUUCUGCUACAGAGCGGAAUGAAAAACCCUGGGGAGCAAAUUCCUGAGCCAGAGAAUGGAGCGGAGGAACCAGCCAAGGAGGAUAAAGAGAAAACUACCUGCUGUCAUCAGGGGUUGGUUGGUUGAGCCUUUCCCUGUGCUUGCCUGGCAGACCUGCGUGCUCUGAGGCUGCCCGACCCUGAGCUCCAGAACAGACCAUCGAGUUCAGGAGACAAGCAUGUCAGCCAUGACACAAGGCAGAUGAGAGGGACCCCCAGCGUCCACACGUGGAGGCAGCGGGGGCAGCCGUGACUUCCUUCUGCAGUGUUGAUUCAGCUCCCUUUGAAGGCGGAUCCAUACAAACAGGCUGACCAUCAGGGCUGGUCCCAGGCCACCAGGCUGGGUGCAAUGCAGAAAUGGAGAUCUGCCCCGGGGAAGGCAGGUGAGUGUAGGAAGGAGGGAGGGCUGCGAGAAGCUGGGGGCAGCCUCCAUCCCCCUGUGGCCUGGGUGGGCCUGUGCCCCCCCAACCCCCCGACGCAGCUUCCCACACUGGGAGCACAGUUCCUCCCUCCUCUGCCUUCCUCUGCGUGGUGUGGCUCCUCCUUGAGGGAGAGAGCUGAGGAGGUGGCAUUCUUGCUUCCCUGACUCACCCAAAGGAAGAUUUCACAGCCCCUGGCAAGGGCUGCCAGACAGGCUCACCUGUCACCCCCUGUCCAGGGACAGACUGACCGGUAGCCUUGGCUGGGUGGGGAGUUAUGCUGGGAAGUCUUCCAGGCCCCCUGGGGGUGGGAAGAUGCUCAAUGUUCAAAGGAGAUGGAACGAGGAAAACAGUUAAGCAACGAUGGACUCCAGGGGGAAAACCGGAGAAGAAGAAACUGUAAUUCCAGUCCGUCCACAUGGCCCAGCAGUGAACGACAAUUGCAUGGUCAGAGAGAGCAAAAGCACCACGCCGACUGAAAGCAGCUCGAAUGUGGUGGGGCAGUGGGAGAUAAUGCCCUCAUCUACCAAAACAAGAUCUGCCACCUUCGCAGACCACUAAACCUCAUUCCUCCACCCACCUCCCCACCCCCAUGAAGGCCAACUGACCAGAGAGCAGGGCUCCCGAGGGUCGGGUCGGGUCGGGUCGGGUUGGGUCGGGUGGGUGCCUCUUAC
rnacentral:lncRNA from 1 species